rnacentral:rRNA from 1 species
CCCUUAGAUGUUCUGGGCCGCACGCGCGCUACACUGAUGAAUGCAACGAGCUCUACCCUUGACCGAAAGGCCCGGGUAAACUUGUGAAACUUCAUCGUGAUGGGGAUAGAUUAUUGCAAUUAUUAAUCUUCAACGAGGAAUUCCUAGUAAGCGCGAGUCAUCAGCUCGCGUUGAUUACGUCCCUGCCCUUUGUACACACCGCCCGUCGCUCCUACCGAUUGAAUGGUCCGGUGAAAUCUUCGGAUUGUUGACCAAGAUCCAGCAAUGGAGCUUGGUUGCGAGAAGUUGAUUAAACCUUAUUAUUUAGAGGAAGGAGAAGUCGUAACA